rnacentral:rRNA from 1 species
UACAGAGGGUGCAAGCGUUAAUCGGAAUUACUGGGCGUAAAGCGUGCGUAGACGGUUAUGUAAGUCGGGUGUGAAAGCCCCGGGCUCAACCUGGGAAUGCCAUUCGAGACUGCAUAGCUAGGGUGCGGAAGAGGGAAGCGGAAUUUCCGGUGUAGCGGUGAAAUGCGUAGAUAUCGGAAGGAACACCAGUGGCGAAAGCGGCUUCCUGGUCCAGCACCGACGUUCAGGCACGAAAGCGUGGGGAAGCAAACAGG